rnacentral:misc_RNA from 1 species
UUUUUAUUGUCUUUGGGAGAAGGAUGUUAGGUUACCACUAAGGUUCACAACAAAAACAGCACAUGUAAGCACAAAACAGCAACUUCAUGAGAAAUUAUUAAAUAGGACUGAUGCAUCAAGUCUCAACUCAGUAUGCUGUUUUGGCGCACACAGAAAGGUCACAGUUCUUCUUUGGGUGUUGCACAGUAAAAAAGCAUAUAUGAGCCAAAACCAGUACUUCAAUAAGAAAUAAAUAAGUAGCUUGGUUCAUCAAGUCUCACAUCAAUGAUAAAAUGCCAUGUCUUGUGUUGUUUGA